rnacentral:rRNA from 1 species
AUUGAACGCUGGCGGCAUGCUUUACACAUGCAAUUCGAACGGCAGCACGGACUUCGGUCUGGUUGCGAGUGGCGAACGGGUGAGUAAUACAUCGGAACGUACCGCGUAGUGGGGGACAACAAGUCGAAAGAUUUGCUAAUACCGCAUACACUCUGAGGAGAAAAGCAGGGGACCUUCGGGCCUUGUGCGAUGCGAGCGGCCGAUGGGUGAUUAGCUAGUUGGUGGGGUAAAGGCCUACCAAGGCAACGAUCAGUAGCGGGUCUUAGAGGACGAGCCGACACACUUGAAGUGAGACGCGGUCCAGAGUCCUGUGGGAGGCAGGAGUCGGGAAUCUUGGACGAUGGGCGCAAGCCUGAUCCAGGACUGCCGCGUGCGUGAAGCAGGGCUUCGGGUUGUGAGGCGCUGUUGUCAGGGCGCAAAGACUGAUGGCUAAUAUCCAUCGGAGUUGAGAGUACCUGAAGAAUAAGGACCGGCUACCUACGUGCCAGCAGCCGCAGUAAGAG